AAUGCUGCCAACCUGAAUAGUCGUUUGAUGAGAGAAAUAUGCGAACAAUUCAACAUAACACAUAUAAACUCCACCCCCAACCGGCCCAAAGCCAAUGGUUCCAUCAAAGCAGCUAACAAGAACAUUAAAAAGAUUCUGAGAAAAGUGAUUCAAAGCUCCAGACAAUGGCAUGAAAAGUUGCCUUUUGCAUUACUUGGAUAUCACACCAUGAUGCGCAUAUCGGUAAGAGCAACCACAUACUUAUUGGUCUAUGGAACCGAAGAUGUUAUACCUGCAGAGGUAGAUAUCCCUUCACUCAGGAUAAUCGUUGAAGGGGAAAUUGAGGAUAGUGAGUAGGUCAAGACUCGGCUGGAACAAUUGUCAUUAAUUGAUGAAAAUUGAAUGGCCUCAAUUCGUCACGGGUAGUUGUAUCGGCAAAGAAUGACCCGUGCUUAUGAUAAGAAAGUGCGCCCCAGGAAAUUCAACGUUGGACAGCUUGUAUUAAGGCGCAUUCUCCCUCACCAUCAGGAAGCAAAAGGAAAAUUUUCUCCUAACUGGAAAGGCCCAUACAAUAUCAGAAAAAUAUUGCCCAAAGAAGCAUUGUUCCUAGGAGGCAUCGAAGGGGGAAAUCCCGAGGUAGCAGUGAAUGCAGAUGCAGUAGUACAUUAUCAGAAAGAUAUUGCCCAAAUGAGCAUUAUACCUGGGCGACAUCGAAGGAGACGAUACCGAGGCAACAAUGAAUGCAGACGUAGUAAAAAGGUACUACGUCUAGGCUCCCUGCAACAAUAAUUCAAUCCGGUUGAGAUGACGAAGGCUUUUCCUUCCUGCUACCCAAACACUCAAUUUUUUGCAAAUCCUUUUGAGCCGGUUAUGUUACUUUGACCACCCUCUUUGGAACCCGGAAAUGCUAUUCAAACAAAAAAAAUGAAGAAAACAAAAAAAGUAAAAGUAAAAAAAAAGUGAUGAAAAUGAAAACAAAACAAAAAUAGUUUAGGAAAAACUUCCCGAACUACGUUUGACAUGAUUCCAAAGGAUACGUAGGCAGCUUCUCGCUGAGGUUCAGUCACACCAAAACAAAAUCCCCAAAAAUUUUAAAACUGGGGAAAAUGAUAUAAUGGUUCGAUCAUGAACUCGCCAAAAAGGUUCCAAAGUUGUAGUUCCGCCCAAAAUCCUUUCACCAAAGACAUUGUUCAAGUCCUUCCGAUCGAUGGGCAAAGGCAGGGAAGCGAAAAACGUCAUGGUUGGAAUCUAAUACAAUUUAAAUUGAGAGAUAUGAAAUAAGAGAGUCUUAUAGGUAAAAACCUUCGGGCACUAUAAGGUGAUAGUAAGUAGAGAAAUUGAAAAUGAGAAAGUCUUCUUAGUGAAAACUCAUAAAGAGCACUAUCGGGCGACGGUGAGAAGAGAACUUAGAGAGGUCGAUCAGUAAAAACCCUCAAAGGGCAUUGUCGGCCGAGAGAUGAUAUCUCACCAUUACAAGAGUCAUGGCAAAGUUCCCUGAUUUUGAAAUGUGGAAAUGUGGUUCACGAGAAGCUGGAAAUUUUGUGUGAGUCAGGCACCAGUCCGAGAAGCAUGUCAUGUUCAUUUGAAGUCGGCAUGCACCCCCAGAUAAGUCCUUCUCUUUCCCCGAAAUAGAUGCUUCUCUUUAAACUCAUAUGAUUGCUUUCGUAUACUUCUUCCUUGAAUCCUUUUCGGUUUAACUCUGACUCUAUUACUAAUACAAAAGAAAAGGUGGCAGGAUUGGUUUCACAGGGCUCUCCUAGCAAGGGCAAAAGAAAAUACCCAGUCUCAGCAGAUGCAUCUAGCCGAUCCCGACUGGCGAUGAUGGUUGAAACUUCAGAAGAAAAAAGGGUUUGAAAGAAAGAAAAUCGAAUUCAAAUUGCCCAUGAAUGCAAAAUAAAGUUAGAAAGGUCAAGUCUCGGUGGUCUAAUUGUCUCGACAAAGAAAUCACCUCCCCGGCAUAACUCGAGGAUCAUUUUCCUUUAUUAGGGAUAAGCUUGCCCUUCUUUCCAAAUCUCAUCACGCCUUCUAUAGGCGAAACUCGGAGCAAUACCCACUCACCAACCAUAAAUGCCACACAUUAAACCGUGCGGCCUGCAUAACGCUGUUGCCUAGACUGAGUUGAAUGAAGCCUAUCCUGAAUGAUCUUGACCUUGUCCAAGGCCUCAUGAACCAAUUCUGUACCCAACAAGCGAGCCUCUCCCAGCUCAAACCGUCCAUAUAACUAGAUCCUAGCUAAUACCAACGGGCACGCACCCCCAAAAACUAGAACUCAAGAGGCAUGCAAUGAAGAGGAUGAAUCUGGGAAAGGAAAAACACAUAAGGGAACUAUCAAACAAGUCAAACUAGCACAAUAUUUCUAAAACACUAAUCUACAAACAUCUAACAAGAAAGAAUGAAACAUAUAAAAGACUCACAAGGAUCUUAUAUUAAUUAUAGGAACUGUCUGAUAUAUGAAUGUCGUGUAUGUGAGGUAACGAGUGCAUAGACAGACUAUUUGUUGAAAACCCCUGUUUUCAUUAAGCAAAUAUCUGUUUUCCUUUAAUUGAGCAACACUAGCAUAUGUAACUAUCCUGUUUAGUUUAGGAAAGCAUGCGUGUGUGCCUUAAGACUAUCUAAACUCUGCUACAUGUUUUAGUGAAAUUUCCUGUUCUUCCUUAACUCGGAUUGCGCCUAAAUUGUGAUUUUCUUGUUGUAACUGUUAUCUCUGUUAGUUUACUUGCAUAUUUGCUUUGGGACUACAAAGCGGUAUUGCAGUAGAUCCCUCAUGUACUCCAGAUUUACUUUUGGACUACAGAAUGGUAUUCCAGGAGAUUCUCCAGCACUACAUAUUUACUUUGAGACUAUGGAAUUGUAUUCCGGGAGAUGCCCCCGCGCAUUUGUGUUGGGACUACAAAAUGGUAUCCCCCUAUUGUUAUUACUGCGUUCUGAGCUGUUGGUAUUCUAUUCCUGUUAGUUUGCCGUAUUUAGUUUCUACUGUAGUAUUCUUUCUGUCUUAUUUCAUUAUAUUUAUACUAGUAGGGCCCUGACCUGAUCUCGUCACUACUUGACCGGUGUUAUCCUUGGAACUUUACUGUUGUGAUGUACUUAUUCCCUUUCCUGCAUAUAUUUUUCUUGCGCAGAUCCAGGUACUAUCUCUCAGUCUCGAGUCUAGCUGUGUGGUUGCUGCUUCAGGAGAAUUCAAGGUACAUCUGCCCAUAUUCGCAGACCUCGGAGUCCCCUUCUGUCCCCUAUGUUUUCUUCCUUUCUAUAGAAAUGAUGUAUAGAACCGUUACGAAUUCUUAAACGCUUGUGACAUUGUGAUAUUUAAGGUUUUGGGAAAGAUGAUUAUUGUAUAUGUCUAGUGGCACGUUUCUGCUUAUUAACUAUAUCUGUCAGUUGUUAUCCUUGUGUUUCAUUUCAUUUUAGCAAUAUUAAACUUAUCUAAGUGAAGAGACUAGGUGUCGUUACGGCAGUUCACGGAGGGAGAAAUUGGAUUGUGACAUAUAAGGAGUUGGGGGAAGGGUGAGGGAAUGGGGGAAGGGUAAGGAAAGUAGCAUAAAAAAAUAUUUCCCUAAAAAAUAUUUUCUACUCUCUAACCCAACAAUAAAAAAUAUUUUUCGAAAAAAUAUUUUCACUUACCAAACAAACAAGGAAAAAUAAGUGAUAAAAUCACUCAUUUUUCAUAAAAAUAUUUUUUAGGAAAAUAUUUUCCUUCGUAUCAAACACACCUAAUAGCUUUCUUCCUUCAUAACAAUUCCAUUCUUAUCUUGGUAUUGCUGCUCCAACCAAUUAAAUAUUAUUAUUUAUCCUCAAUAUUCACCAUAACCAUUUUUAAUAAGGAUUAUUUUAGAAAAAUAUUUUACUCUCGUCUACUAAACACGAAAAAUAUAUGUUUUAAGAACAAAUUGUUGAUAUUUGAAUUUGAAUUAUGUCAAAAACGAACAAUUCGUGCAGUAAUUUGAAAUGAUGAUUGCAGGUCUCUACUAUUUGGUGUGUGGUAUUCUACUUUGAUACAUCUGUUUAGAUAAAUUAAUAAAAUGAUAGACUACUUAGCUAAAAAUGGGUGUAGAAGCUCAAUGAUCUCAACUUUUCCAACGCUUUUGUUAUUACUAUAUUUGAAAGGGAUAGAAUAGGUACUAUGUUGCUUAGUCUAGUCUUUAUUAUAACAUAGUUUCAACGAUGAAAAAUAAUAUUAUGUUUGUUGCCGGUGUCCAAGAUGAAGAAAUACUCAAGACAAAAAGCAAGGCGGAAGAAAGGAAAAGAAGAUUUUCCCUUUUCAUAAAAGAUCUAUGAAAGAAAGCAAUCCAGGAUAUUCAAGGAAGGAAGAUCCAAAUUAGCAGAAGAUCAUUAUUUAAAUGAUUGCAUUAAUCAUCAAUCCAAUUUUUAAGAGGAGCAACAUGCCAAGCCUAAAAUUCUGCUCGGAUUAUAGAGUUUACUUAGCAUAAGAAUCAAGUGGUGUGUGAAGAAGAAACUCAUCAACACAAGUGUAAUAAGAACAUCAUGGAGCGUUGAAGAUAAACUAUCUAACAAUCGAAGGAACUGGACUAGAAUUCGCAUUGAAUCUGAACCACUAUAAUAAUAUCUUGUGUCAUUAGAUUUUUGAAUCUUUUGUUUUAUACCUAUUAUUUGUUAUACUUGCCACUAAUCUCUAAGUUGACUAACCAAUAAACUAGUCGACUAGUAUUCAAAAAUUUAAAAGGGCAAUAGUUAACCCCCUCCCCAUUUGUAUCUUUAAUUGGUAUCAUAGUAGGUCUUACAUUUUAAGCAUUGCUUAAAAGCUUCUGAGAAAAGAUCAUGUUAAAUAAAAUAAUUGCUGGAGCCUACUUCAAAAAGGAAUAUCGCAGGCUAGGCAUCCUUAUUUCAACGGACAAUACUUUUCACAUUGGAAGGUUCUCAUGAAAAUCUAUGCUAAAUCUUAUAAUGUCAUCAUGUAAUCAAGAAGGGAGAGUAUCCAAUUACAAUAGUCUGGCAUGAAAAUGGUGAUGGAUUGCUUUAAGGGUGUUCGUAACACGCAGCGGAAGAAAAUAACAAUCUUAAGUAGAUUUUCUCAUGUUUAAAAUUUAUUUACGUGUCAAAAAUAGGAUUUAAGACGUACCGGGUGAAGAGAGUUUCUUUACCGAAAUUUCUUCGAUAGUGCGAAGUCUCUAUGCGUAUCCACACCGAGACCGAUCCUUGCUAUCAACCUUUUGAUAAAUGAAACCCGCGAACAAAUUGAACGGAAAUAUUAUGCUAAUUGAACGGAAAUAUUAUGCUAAAGUUUUUCUCAAAAACUGUAGCUAAAACGUGAAAGACCAAGAAAAUUAAUUCUCUUGUCAAGAGUAUUUUUUUUUCUCUUACUCUCACGUUUUCUUUCUCUCUUCUGUGUAUAUCUCUCAAUUUUUUUCUUGUCAAUCUUCUUAAGGAUAUGUGUAUAUAUAUACACAUAUUGAGUCAAAAAAGGAAGAAAAGUAGUUGGAGAUUCUACCAACUUAAAUACAAUUCUAUUUAGAAUUGUAUAGCC
rnacentral:lncRNA from 1 species